GACGAACGCUGGCGGCGUGCUUAACACAUGCAAGUGAACGAAGAGCGAUGGAAGCUUGCUUCUAUCAAUCUUAGUGGCGAACGGGUGAGUAACGCGUAAUCAACCUGCCCUUCAGAGGGGGACAACAGUUGGAAACGACUGCUAAUAACGCAUACGAUCUAAUCUCGGCAUCGAGGAAAGAUGAAAGGUGGCCUCUACAUGUAAGCUAUCACUGAAGGAGGGAUUGCGUCUGCUAGUAGUUGGAGGGGUAACGGCCCACCAAGGGAUGAUCAGUAGCCGGUCUGAGAGGAUGAACGGCCACAUUGGGACUGAGACACGCCCAGACUCCUACGGGAGGCAGCAGUGGGGAAUCUUCCGCAAUGGACGAAAGUCUGAGGAGCA
rnacentral:rRNA from 1 species